rnacentral:rRNA from 1 species
GUGAACGCUGGCGGUAGGCCUCACACCUGCAAGUCGCACGGCAGCACAGUAAGAGCUUGCUCUUACGGGUGGCGAGUGGCGGACGGGUGAGGAAUACAUCGGAAUCUACUUUUUCGUGGGGGAUAACGUAGGGAAACUUACGCUAAUACCGCAUACGACCUACGGGUGAAAGCAGGGGACCUUCGGACCUUGCGCGAUUGAAUGAGCCGAUGUCGGAUUAGCUAGUUGGCGGGGUAAAGGCCCACCAAGGCGACGAUCCGUAGCUGGUCUGAGAGGAUGAUCAGCCACACUGGAACUGAGACACGGUCCAGACUCCUACGGGGGGCAGCAGUGGGGAAUAUUGGACAAUGGGCGCAAGCCUGAUCCAGCCAUACCGCGUGGGUGAAGAAGGCCUUCGGGUUGUAAAGCCCUUUUGUUGGGAAAGAAAAGCAGCAGGUUAAUACCCCGCUGUUCUGACGGUACCCAAAGAAUAAGCACCGGCUAACUUCGUG